rnacentral:rRNA from 1 species
GACGAACGCUGGCGGCGCGCUUAACACAUGCAAGUCGAGCGAAGCGGCGGACGGGUGAGUAACCCGUGAGUAACCUGCCUUAGACAUUGGGAUAGCCUCGGGAAACCGGGAUUAAUACCAAAUGGUCUAAGAUGGACUAGCGUCCCAUUAGCUAGUUGGGAGGUAACGGCCCACCAAGGCGACGAUGGGUAGCCGGCAUGUGAGGGUGAACGGCCACAUUGGAAGGGAGAAGCGGUCGAAACUCUACGGGAUGGAGCAGAGGCGAAUAUUGCACAAUGGAGGGAACUCUGAUGCAGCUAGGCCGCGUGAACGAAGAAGGCUGUCGAGUCGUAAAGUGCUUUUAUAUGGGAAGCGGUACCAUAAGAAAAAGCCCCGGCUAACUACGUGCCAGCAGCCGCGGUAAUAC